AUGCUCCAAGUUGGGAAAAGCUACCAGUGCAGUGGCUGUACCUGCAGAGUUGGACCUCUAAGCACACAACUCCGCACAUCACCUCAGGUCCUAUUAUCUUUUGGAACUGGAACUUUCCUUUUGCCACUGAAUGAAUCAGAAGGAACUUGUCUUUGGACUGGAGCAAAAGAAGGAAAUGGCCUUUCAAGGAGGAAGGAGAGAACACUGGCCCUCAGGGAAGGACAAAUGCCAGCUGGGGAAGGCACAUAUGUGUGACUGCUUCUUAGAGAGGACGUACUUGGCACUCAACUAAAUGCUUGAGGAGAAGCAGAAUUUAUUUCAGAUCUUUUAAAACUUUGACCCUGCUCCUCCAGAUAUGCCAUAUUUGUGGAUUAGAAGACUCAAUAUGGUAAAGAUACUAUUGCUCUCCAAAUUGAUGUAUAGAUUUGAUGCAAUCUCAAUCAUUGUGAAAAUCUACAAAUUGACAGCAAAAUUUAUAUGGAAAUGAAAAGGCCACGAAUAUCCAUGGCAAUCUUGAAGAAGCACAGAGCUGGAAGACAUUGCCAGAUAUCAAGACUUACUAUAAAGCUAACGGAAUUAAGCUCAUGUGGCAUUGGUGCAAGGAGAGACAAACAGACCAUUUGAACAAAAUAGAGAGUCCAGAAACAGACUCACCCAUAUACAAUCACAUGAUUUAUGACAAUAUUAAGUGUGCAGUGCAAUAGGGGAAAGGAUCUUUUCAAUAAAUGGUCCUGGAUUACUUAAAUAUCCA
rnacentral:lncRNA from 1 species